GACGAACGCUGGCGGCGUGCCUAAUACAUGCAAGUAGAACGCUGAAGGAGGAGCUUGCUUCUCUGGAUGAGUUGCGAACGGGUGAGUAACGCGUAGGUAACCUGCCUGGUAGCGGGGGAUAACUAUUGGAAACGAUAGCUAAUACCGCAUAAUAGUAGAUGUCGCAUGACAUUUGCUUAAAAGUUGCAAUUGCAUCACUACCAGAUGGACCUGCGUUGUAUUAGCUAGUUGGUGAGGUAACGGCUCACCAAGGCAACGAUACAUAGCCGACCUGAGAGGGGGAUCGGCCACACUGGGACUGAGACACGGCCCAGACUCCUACGGGAGGCAGCAGUAGGGAAUCUUCGGCAAUGGACGGAAGUCUGACCGAGCAACGCCGCGUGAGUGAAGAAGGUUUUCGGAUCGUAAAGCUCUGUUGUAAGAGAAGAACGAGUGUGAGAGUGGAAAGUUCACACUGUGACGGUAUCUUACCAGAAAGGGACGGCUAACUACGUG
rnacentral:rRNA from 1 species